AUCACUUCUCUGCCUUUUGGCUAAGAUCAAAUGUAGCCUCUGUUCUCAUCUGUUUAAUAUCUGAUAAAUCUUCCUUCCAAGGAUCAUAUAUUAAAUGGUUUUAUAGGCCUAGGAGUCAGAAGGGGAGCUUGUUCUGUCCGCCCCAAGUGUCGACUAGGUGUUGCGUUGUUUCCAAGCAUAGUGCAUUUCUG